UACUCUUCAGUCCUUCAGACAUAUGAGAAAUAAAAUAAUUCCCUGACCAUUUUAGCCACAACAGUUUGCAGUCCUGAGGAACACGAGGACCACCAGCUUUGUUGGACCUGGACACAAAAAUCCAUUCAACAUUAAUGCCUCUUGUGAGCAGAUCAAGAAUGCCUAUGCAUCCGUGUCAAGAACCAAGGCUCACUGGCUUAUGCAAUAUCCUGGCAUGUUAAGAAGUCAUUACCUCCUCCUACACACAGUUCACAAGACACAAUGCAACAGGUGGAUGAAAGACAUGUUAUGUGGGGGUGUUUUGGAAAAAUGAGGCAACAAUGAACCAAAGAGGACAGUGGAAAAGCAGCAGUCAUUUUGCCACCUACUUUUAUGGUGCUGCUACACAGAAACUCUGACGCCACCAUAAGCCAUGUAGUACUCUUCCAAAAAUAAUGGCCAUCUCAUCCAGUGAGCAUGAAGGACGGCUGGCUGUUCC
rnacentral:lncRNA from 1 species